rnacentral:rRNA from 1 species
CCUACGGGGGGCAGCAGUGAGGAAUAUUGGUCAAUGGGCGCGAGCCUGAACCAGCCAAGUAGCGUGAAGGAUGACUGCCCUACGGGUUGUAAACUUCUUUUAUAAAGGAAUAAAGUGAGGCACGUGUGCCUUUUUGUAUGUACUUUAUGAAUAAGGAUCGGCUAACUCCGUGCCAGCAGCCGCGGUAAUACGGAGGAUCCGAGCGUUUACCGGAUUUAUUGGGUUUAAAGGGUGCGUAGAUGGGUUGUUAAGUAAGUUGGGAAAGUUUGCGGCUCACCCGUAAAAGUGCAAUUGAUACUGGCAGUCUUGAGUACAGUUGAGGUAGGCGGAAUGCGUGGUGUAGCGGUGAAAUGCAUAGAUAUCACGAAGAACUCCGAUUGCGAAGGCAGCUUACUAAACUGCCACUGACAUUGAUGCACGAAAGUGUGGGUAUCAAACAGGAUUAGAUACCCCAGUAGUC